rnacentral:rRNA from 1 species
AUUGAACGCUGGCGGCAGGCUUAACACAUGCAAGUCGAACGAGUGGCGGACGGGUGAGUAAUGCUUGGGGAUCUGGCUUAUGGAGGGGGAUAACUACGGGAAACUGUAGCUAAUACCGCGUACCAUAGGAUGAGCCCAUGUGGGAUUAGGUAGUUGGUGGGGUAAAGGCUCACCAAGCCGACGAUCUCUAGCUGGUCUGAGAGGAUGACCAGCCACACUGGGACUGGGACACGGCCCAGACUCCUACGGGAGGCAGCAGUGGGGAAUAUUGCACAAUGGGCGCAAGCCUGAUGCAGCCAUGCCGCGUGUAUGAAGAAGGCCUUAGGGUUGUAAAGUACUUUCAGUCGGGAGGCGUUACCGACAGAAGAAGCACCGGCUAACUCCGUGCCAGCAGCCGCGGUAAUUC